ACAUACUGUCCUUGCUUGGAGUCACACAGCCAUGCAGCUAAGAUACUCAAGACGGCAGAGAAGCCGCACAGAGAAGCAGGAGGCCCAGGUGAGAAGCCAGGUUCAACAGGUGGUCGCUGUGUGACUCUGGCUGACCUCAGAGCCCCUCACUUUCCUCCUCUGUGAGGUAAGAAACCAGAGCCCUCAGGGCUCCUCCCAGCUGCAGCAGCCGGUGAGUCCAUUCCAACAGUUUUCCCAUGCAGCCAGCCUUCUCGUGAGCAACUGCCAUCGCAGCCCUCUGUCCUAGCUCACAUGGGUGGAUGCUGUGUUCAGGGGAUAAUGAGGGAUCAUCAUGGCUGCCUUUUUUUAGUUCUCAAGCUCAACUGAAAACCGCCACCGUAGUGCUGUUAAGGUAGCAGCCUGGGUGUUCUGGGGCCUGCUGAGUGGCGGGGACAGGCCACAGUCACACUGGCCUGUUGUGGUGCUGUGUUGUCAGUAACCAAGGCCGGGAGGCUUAGCGCCUCGCGUCUUCUAUCAGCUGGAGACUAUUCGUGUCUCUCAGUUCUCAGAGGACUGUGCCUGAAGCAGCAUUAUGUUCCCCAAAGACACAUGACAGGUGGCUCCAUUCAGUGCCCAGGACAGACACAAGACCGGCUCCGUCCCUGCUCAGACAGCUGUAGGGGACAGCGAGUCCCUUCCUUCCUUGGCUGGAGGAGACUUCACCCAGGCCCUGCCUCUCGUGCAUCUCAGGUCUGCUUUUAUGAUCCCAGACAGCUCCGUUAGCGAUCUCCUCCUGGCUCUGGCCACAGGGACAUAAUCUUCAGCUCUGCCACUAAUUAAAACACCACCAAGGCAAAGUCACCUAACACCUCAAGCCCAAUCCUCCUUGAGUGGAAAAUCAAGAUGACAGAACUUCAUAGGGCCUUUAACAAUAUCAAGGUCCCAGCUCUGAGGACAGUGACAAUGAGGAACACCAGUCGCUGCUUUUUGUCAAGAUUGAAAAAGCUUCCCUUGUGCUGGCAGCCAAUGCAGAGAUUCACCAGGAGUGAGACAGAAAGAGAGAUACAGAGGCCCAGGACCUCCAGCCAUCCCCACAGCCCAGAUCCACCCUGGGCUUUCCAAGCGCUUGAGCCAAUAAAUCUCCUCUGCUCUUUAUUCCUCCUAAACUAAGUUUCUUUCACCGACAGCCAAGCAUUUACUAACAUGCUCAAGAAAUACCUGUUGGGGCCAGUCACAGCUUCCCAAACCCUGGCAUGUCUUCAAGAUCCCAGGUCUAAAAGGCCCUGGUUCUAAAUCAACGAUCGGGACCCCACAAGUUCCUGAUAGGUUUAAUACACUCUCACAGAUCUCCAAAUGCCUUUGGGCUCACUUGGCUUACCUCAGCCCAAAGGAUACACAAUGUCUGUAAGUUCAUUUUUCUGCAUGGAAAAUGCCUUGUACAACCAGAGCACCUGGCCAAUUACUCCAAAAUGACUGCAGACCUCCAUAAGGAAGGCUCCUGGAGGACAUCCAUGAGGAAACCAGUGGCAACAGGAGGAUGAGCGCCUGAGGGUGAAGAAAGAGCUUGCCUUCUUCAAGCCCAGCCGGAAGAGAACGAAGGUGACUUUAUUCUGAGAAAAAGCCCCUUAGCCAACAUUUGUGUCUCUUCCAAAAUUCAUGAUGGAGCUGAACCCGCAGUGCAGAAGUGUCAAGAGGCGGGGCCUUCAGGAGACCAUUGGGAUUACUGGCUUGAAGGCAUAAGUUUGUUUCUUCCUCCCUUUCCAUGAUAUGGGACCCAGCAAUGAGGC
ensembl:lncRNA